UUUAAUGGCCGCGGUAUUUUGACCGUGCAAAGGUAGCAUAAUCAUUAGUUUUUUAAUUGAAAGCUGGAAUGAAAGGUUGAAUGAGAAAAUAACUGUCUUUAUUAUAUUUAAUUAGAAUUUUAUUUUUAAGUUAAAAGGCUUAAAUAAUAUUUAUAGACGAGAAGACCCUUUAGAGUUUCAUAAAAAUUUAUUUUUAACUUUUUAGUAUUUAUAUUAUUAAUUAUAAAUUUUUAUUUGGUUGGGGUGAUUGAAAAAUUAAAUUAACUUUUUUUAUUAUUUUACAUUAAUAUAUGAAUAUUUGAUCCAUAAUUUAUGAUUAUAAGAUUAAAUUACCUAAGGGAUAACAGCGUUAUUUUUUUUGAGAGUUCAAAUCGAAAAAAAAGAUUGCGACCUCGAUGUUGGAUUAAAAUUAAAUUGUGGUGCAGGGGCUAUAACUUUGGGUCUGUUCGACCUUUAAAAUUUUACAUGAUCUGAGUUUAAACCGGUGUAAGCCAGGUUGGUUUCUAUCUUAAAUCAAUUGUAAUUUUUUAGUACGAAAGGACCAAAUAUUAUAUUUAUAGUAUAAAAAUUUGAAUAAAAAU
rnacentral:rRNA from 1 species